rnacentral:tRNA from 2 species
AGCUCUGUGGUGAAUUUCAUAUUGAAUUGCAAAUUCAAAGAAGCAGCUUCAAUUCUGCCGGGGCUUC